ACCGAGACCGAACCGACCUAACGCCUGUGCCUGUGCGUGCGCGCGCGCGCGUACAUUCGGGCAGAGGCGACAGGAAGCAGUACCCGCCCACCUACCUCCUCCGCGUAGGAGGAAGCCAGGUGUCCUUCGUGUCCCAAGAGCAAAGGUCAGCCCCUGAGUGAGGGAGGUCACCGAGGAAAUGGGUUUCAGGGCUAAAUCAUUGUCCCUCCCAGACAUCGCUUUGCAGUGCAGAACCAAUUUGAAAAUGUGGCAUGAUCAGCAGUCUCGCCCGAGGAGAGACCAGGACCAGCGCAAAGGGAGGGUGAACACACAAACCAAAAAGAAGAGCACAUGUGAGGAAAUGGUACUGAAAAAAACCAACUGGUCUCCCUACUCUCUGAGAAGCUGCAAAAAUAUCUCAUAUCUAAGUUUAAAGAGUACCGGCCAUUGGAGCUAAGGCAACUUAAAGGCAUCCUGCUGACCCUUGUAUCACUGGCCUAUUGGGAUAAACACUAAAGUUUCAUCUUUAUCCCCCAAACUCCAUGGAGAAUGCAAGGUGACUGAACCUGGAUCAUAAGAGCUAGAUGAAUAAUGAACUUGGAAAGGAACAAAACAAUAUACUCAAGAAGAAGGAGAAAUAUCCAAGAACUCAGCAUAUGUUCCUAAUGAGAAUUGCUGAAGGAGAGAGAUGGCAAUUUGAACACAAUCAUGAUGACAAUAACCAUACCACGAGCACUUAAGAAAAGUGAAUUAAAGCACAAUUUCUUGAAACUGAAAUGCAUAUUUUGAGAUUUGAUAUUUAUUAGAUGUAACCCAAGAAUUGUAUAUCAAAUCAAGAUAGCAAUCAUCUAUCAAGAGAAGAGGAGGUUACACAGAAUUUGUAAAAAAUAUUCCACAC
rnacentral:lncRNA from 1 species